UACGUAGGGGGCGAGCGUUGUCCGGAUUUAUUGGGCGUAAAGAGCUCGUAGGCGGUUUGGUAAGUCGGGUGUGAAAACCCCAGGCUCAACCUGGGGACGCCACCUGAUACUGCUAUGACUUGAGUCUGGUAGGGGACCACGGAAUUCCUGGUGUAGCGGUGAAAUGCGCAGAUAUCAGGAGGAACACCGGUGGCGAAGGCGGUGGUCUGGGCCAGUACUGACGCUGAGGAGCGAAAGCGUGGGGAGCAAACAGG
rnacentral:rRNA from 1 species